rnacentral:tRNA from 1 species
GCAAAUGUGGCUCACUGGUAGAGCUCUUGCCUGACAUUCACGAGGACCUAGGUUCAAUCCCCAGCACUGCA